CUAUAACAGAUUGAACUAACAGCUCAAAAAAUAUUCAAUUAAAAUGUUUUCAAAGAUGGUGAUUUUAGCCGUCGCGUUGGUGAUGUUUGUGCAUAUCCAAGCAUACGAGCAUGCGUUUUCAUCGAAUCAUAUAACACGUCACGACGGACAUCAUCAUGAAGUUUCCCAUGGACAUGGUCAUCAUCACGACUACUAUACUCAUCCCAAGUACGAGUUUGAGUACAAAGUUGAAGACCACCACACGGGCGAUAUCAAGUCGCAGCACGAGCACCGCGACGGCGAUGUUGUGAAAGGAGGCUAUUCUCUGCAUCAACCCGAUGGCUCACACAGACAUCUACAUUAUCAUGCUGAUGAUCAUUCAGGUUUCCACGCCGAUGUGAAAUACAGCACUCAUCAUGAACAUCAUCACUGAUUGUUGUUGUGCUUUAUUUUGUCAGUCGCUGUGAUGGCUAUUGUUAAUGCGUAUGAUCACGCGUAUUCAUCCAAUCAUAUUUCUCGUCAUGACGGACAUCACCACGAAGUAGACCAUGGACAUGGCCAUCAUCAUGAUUAUUACACUCAUCCUAAAUACGAGUUCGAAUACAAAAUAGAGGAUCACCACACGGGCGACAUCAAAUCGCAGCACGAGCACCGCGACGGCGAUGUUGUGAAGGGAGGCUAUUCUUUCCAUCAGCCUGACGGCUCCGUCAGACAUGUUGAAUAUCACGGUGACGACCACAGCGGUUUCCACGCCGAUGUGAAAUACGACACCCACCACAUUGUGCCUCAUCAUCAUCAUCAUGAUCACUACUAAGUCGUGUGAAUUAAAGCGAUAUGUCUUUUGUCAAUUUGUUCUGUUGCUUAUAAAAUGUGCAAGUAAUAAAUACAUGUUAAUAACUC